rnacentral:rRNA from 1 species
GAUGAACGCUGGCGGCGUGCCUAAUACAUGCAAGUCGAGCGAACGGACGAGAAGCUUGCUUCUCUGUUGUUAGCGGCGGACGGGUGAGUAACACGUGAAUAACCUACCUCUAAGACUUGGAUAACUGCGGGAAACCGUAGCUAAUACCAGAUAAUAUUUUGAACCGCAUGGUUCAAGAGUGAAAGACGGUCUUUCUGUCACUUAUAGGUCUAUCCGCGCUGCGUUGGCUAGUUGGUAAGGUAACGCCUUACCAAGGCAACGAUGGAUAGCCGACCUCAGCGGGUGAUAGGCCACCCGGGAGCGGAGACAGCGACACGACUACUACGGGAGGCAGCAGUAGGGAAUCUUCCGCAAUGGGCGAGAGUAUGACGGAGCAACGGCGAGUGAGUGACGACGAUCCUCGGAGCGUAAAAACCUGUUAUGAGGGAAGAACAUAUGUCUAAGUAAAUGAGCAGAUCGUGACGGUACCUAAACAGGAAGCAACGGCUAACUACGUG